rnacentral:rRNA from 1 species
UACGGAGGAGGCAAGCGUUAUCCGGAAUUAUUGGGCGUAAAGCGUCCGUAGAUGGUCGUUUCAAGUCUGCUGUCAAAGACCGGGGCUUAACCCCAGAAAGGCGGUGGAAACUGAACAGCUAGAGAGAGGUAGGGGUAGAGGGAAUUCCCAGUGUAGCGGUGAAAUGCGUAGAUAUUGGGAAGAACAUAAGUGGCGAAAGCGCUCUACUGGACCUUAUCUGACAUUGAGGGACGAAAGCUAGGGGAGCGAAUGGG